rnacentral:rRNA from 1 species
GAUGAACGCUGGCGGCGUGCUUAACACAUGCAAGUCGAACGGAAAGGCUCCUGCUUGCAGGGGUACUCGAGUGGCGAACGGGUGAGUAACACGUGGGUGAUCUGCCCUGCACUUCGGGAUAAGCCUGGGAAACUGGGUCUAAUACCGGAUAGGACGAUGGUUUGGAUGCCAUUGUGGAAAGUUUUUCGGUGUGGGAUGAGCUCGCGGCCUAUCAGCUUGUUGGUGGGGUAAUGGCCUACCAAGGCGUCGACGGGUAGCCGGCCUGAGAGGGUGUACGGCCACAUUGGGACUGAGAUACAGCCCAGACUCCUACGGGAGGCAGCAGUGGGGAAUAUUGCACAAUGGGCGCAAGCCUGAUGCAGCGACGCCGCGUGGGGGAUGACGGCCUUCGGGUUGUAAACUCCUUUCGCUAGGGACGAAGCGCAAGUGACGGUACCUGGAGAAGAAGCACCGGCUAACUACGUG